CGGAAGUUUUGGUUCCUCUGCGUCCUAGUAAG
rnacentral:sRNA from 1 species